UACGGAGGGUGCGAGCGUUGUCCGGAAUCAUUGGGCGUAAAGGGCGCGUAGGUGGCGGCUUAAGCGUGCGGUGAAAGCUCGGGGCUCAACCCCGGAGUCGGCCGUGCGAACUGAGUCGCUUGAGCACUGUAGAGGCAGGCGGAAUUCCGGGUGUAGCGGUGGAAUGCGUAGAGAUCCGGAAGAACACCGGUGGCGAAGGCGGCCUGCUGGGCAGUAGCUGACACUGAGGCGCGACAGCGUGGGGAGCAAACAGG
rnacentral:rRNA from 1 species